rnacentral:rRNA from 1 species
UACGUAGGGGGCAAGCGUUGUCCGGAAUUAUUGGGCGUAAAGAGCUCGUAGGCGGCUUGUCGCGUCGGAUGUGAAAGCCCGGGGCUUAACCCCGGGUCUGCAUUCGAUACGGGCAGGCUAGAGUGUGGUAGGGGAGAUCGGAAUUCCUGGUGUAGCGGUGAAAUGCGCAGAUAUCAGGAGGAACACCGGUGGCGAAGGCGGAUCUCUGGGCCAUUACUGACGCUGAGGAGCGAAAGCGUGGGGAGCGAACAGG